rnacentral:pre_miRNA from 2 species
UAACUCUUCAAGAUGUUGUGAAAUGUUAUAACAUUCCCUCAUAUCACAGCCAUUUUGAUGAGUUAAG